rnacentral:rRNA from 1 species
GUUGAACGCUGGCGGCAUGCUUUACACAUGCAAGUCGAACGGUAACAGGCCUCUGGGUGCUGACGUGAGCGGCGCGGGGGUGUAAUGUACCGGAAAGUCUCCCGGGGAGGGGGAUAACACGGCGGAAGCUGGGCUAUAAUCCCGCGUGCGCCCUGGGGGAAAGCGGGGGACAGCGUAGCACUGUUCGCCCUCGCGCCAUUGGAGCGGCCGAUGUCGGAUUAGCUAGUUGGUGGGGUAAAGGCCUACCAAGGCGACGAUCCGUAGCUGGUCUGAGAGGACGACCAGUCACACUGGGACUGAGACACGGCCCAGACUCCUACGGGAGGCAGCAGUGGGGAAUUUUGGACAAUGGGCGCAAGCCUGAUCCAGCAAUGCCGCGUGCGGGAAGAAGGCCUUCGGGUUGUAAAGCGCUUUAGGCAGGAAGGAAGCGGAGUCCGCUAAUACCGUGCGCUAAUGACGUUACCAGCAGAAUAAGCACCGGCUAACUACGUG